rnacentral:rRNA from 1 species
AUUGAACGCUGGCGGCAUGCUUUACACAUGCAAGUCGAACGGCAGCGCGGGCUUCGGCCUGGCGGCGAGUGGCGGACGGGUGAGUAAUGCAUCGGAACGUGCCCAGUAGUGGGGGAUAGCCCGGCGAAAGCCGGAUUAAUACCGCAUACGACCUGAGGGUGAAAGCGGGGGACCGAAAGGCCUCGCGCUAUUGGAGCGGCCGAUGUCGGAUUAGCUAGUUGGUGGGGUAAAGGCUUACCAAGGCGACGAUCCGUAGCUGGUCUGAGAGGACGACCAGCCACACUGGGACUGAGACACGGCCCAGACUCCUACGGGAGGCAGCAGUGGGGAAUUUUGGACAAUGGGGGCAACCCUGAUCCAGCCAUGCCGCGUGCGGGAAGAAGGCCUUCGGGUUGUAAACCGCUUUUGUUCGGGAAGAAAUCCUCUGGGCUAAUACCCCGGGGGGAUGACGGUACCGGAAGAAUAAGCACCGGGUAACUACGUG